rnacentral:rRNA from 1 species
AUUGAACGCUGGCGGCAGGCCUAACACAUGCAAGUCGAACGAGUGGCGGACGGGUGAGAAAUGUCUGGGAAACUGCCUGAUGGAGGGGGAUAACUACUGGAAACGGUAGCAAAUACCGCAUACCAUCGGAUGCCCCCAGAUGGGAUUAGCUAGUAGGUGGGGUAACGGCGCACCUAGGCGACGAUCCCUAGCUGGUCUGAGAGGAUGACCAGCCACACUGGAACUGAGACACGGCCCAGACUCCUACGGGAGGCAGCAGUGGGGAAUAUUGCACAAUGGGCGCAAGCCGGAUGCAGCCAUGCCGCGUGUAUGAAGAAGGCCUUCGGGUUGUAAAGUACUUUCAGCGGGGAGGCGUUACCCGCAGAAGAAGCACCGGCUAACUCCGUGCCAGCAGCCGCGGUAAUUC